AGAUUGAACGCUGGCGGCAGGCCUAACACAUGCAAGUCGAGCGGCAGCACGGGUACUUGUACCUGGUGGCGAGCGGCGGACGGGUGAGUAAUGCCUAGGAAUCUGCCUGGUAGUGGGGGAUAACGCUCGGAAACGGACGCUAAUACCGCAUACGUCCUACGGGAGAAAGCAGGGGAUCUUCGGGCCUUGCGCUAUCAGAUGAGCCUAGGUCGGAUUAGCUAGUUGGUGAGGUAAUGGCUCACCAAGGCGACGAUCCGUAACUGGUCUGAGAGGAUGAUCAGUCACACUAGGAACUG
rnacentral:rRNA from 1 species